CUCUGCGUUGAAGAUGGUGUAGAUGAUGGGGUUGAGGGCGCUGUUGACAUAGCCUAGCCAGGUGACGGCACUGACCAGGCUAGGGGGCACGAAACAAGCUGGACACAGCGCCCGCGUGAUGUGCACCACGAAGAAAGGCGUCCAACACAUCAGGAAGGCCCCUGGGGGUGGGCAGCGUGAGCCUGAACUCCGGGACACAAGCCCUCUCUGGGUCAGCAGAUCACACACAGAGAAUAGAAAGGGAUCCGGAGGAUGGUAGCAUAACCGGACAGACGCAAAACUGGCGCUGGAUUCUGAAGAGCGGGAGACGGGUGCGCUCGGAGGCCACGCUCACGCACACGAGCGAGUUCCCCGCCAAUACCAAGCUGAUGAGCAGCACGCCCCCGACCAGCGCCGCCACAC